CCUACGGGAGGCAGCAGUGGGGAAUUUUGGACAAUGGGCGAAAGCCUGAUCCAGCCAUGCCGCGUGCAGGAUGAAGGCCUUCGGGUUGUAAACUGCUUUUGUACGGAACGAAAAGGUCUUUUCUAAUAAAGAAGGCUCAUGACGGUACCGUAAGAAUAAGCACCGGCUAACUACGUGCCAGCAGCCGCGGUAAUACGUAGGGUGCGAGCGUUAAUCGGAAUUACUGGGCGUAAAGCGUGCGCAGGCGGUUAUAUAAGACAGUUGUGAAAUCCCCGGGCUCAACCUGGGAACUGCAUCUGUGACUGUAUAGCUAGAGUACGGUAGAGGGGGAUGGAAUUCCGCGUGUAGCAGUGAAAUGCGUAGAUAUGCGGAGGAACACCGAUGGCGAAGGCAAUCCCCUGGACCUGUACUGACGCUCAUGCACGAAAGCGUGGGGAGCAAACAGGAUUAGAUACCCUGGUAGUCCACGCCCUAAACGAUGUCAACUGGUUGUUGGGUCUUCACUGACUCAGUAACGAAGCUAACGCGUGAAGUUGACCGCCUGGGGAGUACGGCCGCAAGGUUGAAACUCAAAGUAGUAGUAGCGNGNGAGAGCGACGACGACGACGACGGAGGGAGGAG
rnacentral:rRNA from 1 species